rnacentral:rRNA from 1 species
AUUGAACGCUGGCGGAAUGCUUUACACAUGCAAGUCGAGCGGCAGCGCGGCCUUCGGGCUGGCGGCGAGCGGCGAACGGGUGAGUAAUGCAUCGGAACAUGCCCAGUCGUGGGGGAUAACACUUCGAAAGAAGUGCUAAUACCGCAUACGUCCUGAGGGGGAAAGCGGGGGAUCGCAAGACCUCGCGCGAUUGGAGUGGCCGAUGUCAGAUUAGCUAGUUGGUGGGGUAAAGGCCUACCAAGGCGACGAUCUGUAGCUGGUCUGAGAGGAUGAUCAGCCACACUGGGACUGAGACACGGCCCAGACUCCUACUGGAGGCAGCAGUGGGGAAUUUUGGACAAUGGGGGCAACCCUGAUCCAGCCAUUCCGCGUGAGUGAAGAAGGCCUUCGGGUUGUAAAGCUCUUUCGGCAGGAACGAAACGGUGGGCUCUAACAUAGUCCGCUAAUGACGGUACCUGAAGAAGAAGCACCGGCUAACUACGUG